rnacentral:rRNA from 1 species
AUUGAACGCUGGCGGCAGGCCUAACACAUGCAAGUCGAGCGGAUGACGGGAGCUUGCUCCUUGAUUCAGCGGCGGACGGGUGAGUAAUACCUAGGAAUCUGCCUGAUAGUGGGGGACAACGUUUCGAAAGGAACGCUAAUACCGCAUACGUCCUACGGGAGAAAGCAGGGGACCUUCGGGCCUUGCGCUAUCAGAUGAGCCUAGGUCGGAUUAGCUAGUUGGUGAGGUAAUGGCUCACGAAGGCGACGAUCCGUAACUGGUCUGAGAGGAUGAUCAGUCACACUGGAACUGAGACACGGUCCAGACUCCUACGGGAGGCAGCAGUGGGGAAUAUUGGACAAUGGGCGAAAGCCUGAUCCAGCCAUGCCGCGUGUGUGAAGAAGGUCUUCGGAUUGUAAAGCACUUUAAGUUGUGAGGAAGGGCAGUAAGCUAAUACCUUGCUGUUUUGACGUUACCGACAGAAUAAGCACCGGCUAACUCUGUGCCAGCCGCCGCCGUAAAAC